AGUGAACGCUGGCGGUAGGCCUAACACAUGCAAGUCGAACGGCAGCACAGUAAGAGCUUGCUCUUACGGGUGGCGAGUGGCGGACGGGUGAGGAAUACAUCGGAAUCUACUUUUUCGUGGGGGGUAACGUAGGGAAACUUACGCUAAUACCGCAUACGACCUACGGGUGAAAGCAGGGGAUCUUCGGACCUUGCGCGAUUGAAUGAGCCGAUGUCGGAUUAGCUAGUUGGCGGGGUAAAGGCCCACCAAGGCGACGAUCCGUAGCUGGUCUGAGAGGAUGAUCAGCCACGCUGGAACUGAGACACGGUCCAGACUCCUACGGGAGGCAGCAGUGGGGAAUAUUGGACAAUGGGCGCAAGCCUGAUCCAGCCAUACCGCGUGGGUGAAGAAGGCCUUCGGGUUUUAAAGCCCUUUUGUUGGGAAAGAAAAGCAGCAGGUUAAUACCCCGCUGUUCUGACGGUACCCAAAGAAUAAGCACCGGCUAACUUCGUG
rnacentral:rRNA from 1 species